UCAGGUGAUUACAGCAUUAGGGUUCCACCUCUUCCCAUUCCGAACAGAGAAGUUAAGCCUAAUCACGCCGAUGGUACUGCGUAAAGUGGGAGAGUAGGUAGUCGCCGUUUU
rnacentral:rRNA from 1 species